UAUGUAGGCGGAAUUAUAAGUCAGGUGUGAAAACCACGGGCUCAACCCGUGGCCUGCACUUGAUACUGUGAUUCUAGAGUUUGGGAGAGGCAAGCGGAAUUCCUGAUGUAGCGGUGAAAUGCGUAGAUAUCAGGAGGAACACCGGUGGCGAAAGCGGCUUGCUGGCCUAAAACUGACGCUGAGAUACGAAAGUGUGGGGAGCGAACG
rnacentral:rRNA from 1 species